rnacentral:tRNA from 1 species
GCACCCGUAGCUCAGUUGGUUAGAGCACUACCUUGACAUGGUAGGGGGCGGUGGUUCGAGUCCACUCGGGUGUACCA